GGGGAAUAUUGCACAAUGGGGGAAACCCUGAUGCAGCGACGCCGCGUGAGCGAAGAAGUAUUUCGGUAUGUAAAGCUCUAUCAGCAGGGAAGAUAAUGACGGUACCUGACUAAGAAGCCCCGGCUAACUACGUGCCAGCAGCCGCGGUAAUACGUAGGGGGCAAGCGUUAUCCGGAUUUACUGGGUGUAAAGGGAGCGUAGACGGCAAGGCAAGUCUGAUGUGAAAACCCAGGGCUUAACCCUGGGACUGCAUUGGAAACUGUCUGGCUCGAGUGCCGGAGAGGUAAGCGGAAUUCCUAGUGUAGCGGUGAAAUGCGUAGCUAUUAGGAAGAACACCAGUGGCGAAGGCGGCUUACUGGACGGUAACUGACGUUGAGGCUCGAAAGCGUGGGGAGCAAACAGGAUUAGAUACCCUGGUAGUCCCACGCCGUAAACGAUGAAUGCUAGGUGUUGGGGAGC
rnacentral:rRNA from 1 species